rnacentral:rRNA from 1 species
UACGUAGGUGGCAAGCGUUGUCCGGAUUUACUGGGCGUAAAGGGCGUGCAGGCGGUCUGUUAAGUCUAGGGUGAAAGCUCCCGGCUCAACUGGGAGAGGUCCUUGGAUACUGGCGGACUUGAGGGAGGCAGAGGAAAGUGGAAUUCCCGGUGUAGUGGUGAUAUGCGUAGAUAUCAGGAGGAACACCGAUGGCGAAGGCAGGUCUCUGGGCCACUACUGACGCUGAGAAGCGAAAGCAUGGGGAGCGAACAGG